CUGAACCAGCCAAGUAGCGUGAAGGAUGACUGCCCUAUGGGUUGUCAACUUCUUUUAUACGGGAAUAACAUCAUCCACGUGUGGGUGCCUGCAUGUACCGUAUGCAUAAGCAUCGGCUAACUCCGUGCCAGCAGCCGCGGUAAUACGGAGGAUGCGAGCGUUAUCCGGAUUUAUUGGGUUUAAAGGGAGCGUCGGCGGGUUGUUAAGUCAGUUGUGAAAGUUUGCGG
rnacentral:rRNA from 1 species